UACGUAGGGGGCAAGCGUUGUCCGGAUUUAUUGGGCGUAAAGAGCGUGUAGGCGGCUUUACAGGUCCGUUGUGAAAACUCGAGGCUCAACCUCGAGACGCCGGUGGAAACCGUAAAGCUAGAGUCCGGAAGAGGAGAGUGGAAUUCCUGGUGUAGCGGUGAAAUGCGCAGAUAUCAGGAGGAACACCCGUGGCGAAAGCGGCUCGCUGGGACGUUACUGACGCUGAGACGCGAAAGCGUGGGGAGCAAACAGG
rnacentral:rRNA from 1 species